AAGGGAGACCUAAUUCGGGUAUAAGACGAAAAAAUAGUAGUCGAAACCAAGAAUCAAUCCCAAAAGGUCGGAACGAGGUAUGUGGCUUUCAAACUAGGUUCUGGGUUCAUAAAAGACCUGAAUCAGGAACAAGGGCUAUUAGCUCAGGUGGUUAGAGCGCACCCCUGAUAAGGGUGAGGUCCCUGGUUCGAGUCCAGGAUGGCCCACCUGCACAGGUGGUAAAAACAAGAGAAGCGAGGAAUCAGCACCUUAUCUUACUUACAUAGUAAGAGAGAAUGCUGGCUCUGAGUAAAGAGUCCAGAGGAACCUUGAAAACUGCAUAGAGCUAGGUGGAAAAGCCAAAAAAGAAGACCGCAA
rnacentral:tRNA from 1 species